UCCUCCUUUCUCCACCAGUUCCUCCAAAACCAAAACGCUUCUUCCUCCACCUCCUCCUGCUCCGCCAAGUUCAUGUUCCACCACCCUCACUUCUCGUCUCCGCCACCGCAUCAUCAUCAUCAGCAACACUUCCAACCUCACCAGGACGCCGCUUCCCCCCUCGACUUCCUGGAUCGCCAACACCGUCUAGCCCACUCCAACUCCGGCGUUAAUUUCUCCGAUCCCGGCCUCUACUUCGGUAAAGAAGCUCUGGCUGCUGAUAAUGCCGCGGCCGCUGGCUCGAAAAGGAGA
rnacentral:lncRNA from 1 species